rnacentral:rRNA from 1 species
UGCUAAACAGCUAACCCAAAACCCAAAAAACAACAAAUCUAUAUAAAUAACCCCAAAAUAUCUAAUAAGACAAAAAACAAACCAUUUUUCCCCCUUAGUAUAGGCGAUAGAAAAGGACACAAAGAGUAACAGAAAAAGUACCGCAAGGGAACGCUGAAAGAGAAAUGAAACAAUCCAGUCAAGCCAAUAAAAGCAGAGAUUAAACCUCGUA